ACCCCGAUCCCAAGCACCAUGGAGCCGACGAUUUGGAUCAAGACCUACAUCCCAAGCACCAAGGUGCCUGGUUGAUAUGGAUCGCGAUCCCGAUCUGGAGCUCCAGGGCGCCGAGGAUUUCGAUCACGAUCCCGAUCUGAAGCACCGAGUAGCCGAGGAUAUGGAUCAAGACCCCGGUCCGAAGCGACAAGGAGGCAAGGAUUUGGAUCACCACUCCGAUCAAAGGCACCAAGGCGUCGAGGGGUUGGAUCGAGAUCCCGAUCCCAAUCAUGAAGUUGGCUAUGUAAUUUCCUGUUUUCCACACCGUUCAGGGCAUUUUGGUGGUCGUAUCGGCUUUUAGUUGCUUGCUUGGUGUUAGUGCCAAGGGAGUGGUUGGAAGCUAGGUCGUCCUCUGGAAUGCUUGUUGUAAAGGUGUAUGAGUUGUGUUUGGCUUGUUACGGGUGUUUGUUGGCUGCUUGUGCAGGAACUUUCAUGCGUCCAAGCCUCUUCAGUUGUGCUACAAGGCCUUGUUUGUCUUGUGCAUACGGUGGGUUUCCUGUGUUGCAUACCUAAUCAAGGGCAUCGUAUGGCUUGAUCGAAGUAAAUAUUCGUAAUGCGCCGCUUGCGGCGUUGCACGAACCUCGAAGUGGUCUCUGUGGCCCAUGUUGUCUUUGCUCACGUAUGGAUGGCAUGGCCCUCGGAGCGUCGCUUGGUCUCUUGGAUACGGAACCUGAUGAUGUGGGCGGUAGGGUCUUGGAUGAUUCUACCUUCGC
rnacentral:misc_RNA from 1 species